AGCGAACGCUGGCGGCAGGCUUAACACAUGCAAGUCGAGCGGGCACUUCGGUGUCAGCGGCAGACGGGUGAGUAACACGUGGGAACGUACCCUUUGGUUCGGAAUAACGCUGGGAAACUAGCGCUAAUACCGGAUACGCCCUUUUGGGGAAAGGCUUGCUGCCGAAGGAUCGGCCCGCGUCUGAUUAGCUAGUUGGUGGGUUAAUGGCCUACCAAGGCGGCGAUCAGUAGCUGGUCUGAGAGGAUGAUCAGCCACACUGGAACUGAGACACGGCCCAGCGUCCUACGGGAGGGAGCAGUGGAGAAUAUUGGACAAUGGGCGCAAGCCUGAUCCAGCCAUGCCGCGUGAGUGAUGAAGGCCUUAGGGUUGUAAAGCUCUUUUGUCCGGGACGAUAAUGACGGUACCGGAAGAAUAAGCCCCGGCUAACUUCGUG
rnacentral:rRNA from 1 species